rnacentral:rRNA from 1 species
ACGAACGCUGGCGGCGUGCUUAAUACAUGCAAGUCAACUUGACUUUAGAUAGCAAUAUCGAAAAGUAGGGUGGCGCACGGGUGCGUAACGCGUAGGUAGUCUGCCCUGAGGUCUGACAUAACCCGUCGAAAGGCGGGCUAACAUCAGAUGAUAUAUAAUCACGACAUCGUGGAAAUAUCAAAUCUUCGGAGCCUUGGGAUGAGCCUGCGUCUGAUUAGGUAGUUGGCGGAGUAAUAGCCCACCAAGCCUACGAUCAGUAGCUGGUCUGAGAGGAUGAUCAGCCACACUGGAACUGAGACACGGUCCAGGCUCCUACGGGAGGCAGCAGUAAGGAAUAUUGCUCAAUGGGGGGAAACCCUGAAGCAGCAACGCCGCGUGAAGGAUGAAAUACUUUGUAUGUAAACUUCUGUAAGAUGGGAAAAAUAUUCUCCUCGGGAGAAUUGAUUGUACCAUCAGAGUAAGCCCCGGCUAACUACGUG